GACGGAGGAUGCAAGCGUUAUCCGGAAUUAUUGGGCGUAAAGCGUCCGCAGGUGGCUGUUCAAGUCUGCUGUCAAAGCGCAGAGCUUAACUCUGUACAGGCGGUGGAAACUGAAGAGCUAGAGUAUGGUAGGGGUAGAGGGAAUUCCCGGUGUAGCGGUGAAAUGCGUAGAUAUCGGGAAGAACACCAGUGGCGAAAGCGCUCUACUGGGCCAUAACUGACACUGAGGGACGAAAGCUAGAGGAGCGAAAGGG
rnacentral:rRNA from 1 species